CCCGUCUCCCCUCUCUGCCCCCGCCCCUCUUUCUCGAUGUCGGUACUCGACAUCAGGAAGAGCCCUAGGGCUUCUUUCUCUUCAGUUUUAGGGGGAUGAGGCGUGUUCAAAGCGCUGCGGGCCAAUUUUGUUAAUUUUUCUUUAUAAUCCGGUGAUUAUUGUAUCCAAGCAUUCGAUUGUCGGUUUGCUAGGGUUUUUCAAAACCUCGUAUAAUUCGUUGUAGGCUUCAAAUUAUAUCAAAAGGCUUGUUUUCUAAUGCCCUCAGGCAUCAAGAUUGGAGCCUUUUGCUUGCAAGAUCCCUAAUAGCAUAUGUGAUUCGUGAGUAGGGAGGGUCAGAUAGGGUUUAGGCUUUCCCCCUCUCCUAUUUUAAAUUUCCACCUUUGUUUAGGGUUUAGGGGUUGAGUAGAGAGGGUCAGAUAGGGUUUUGGUUUUCCCCCUUCCCUAUUUUAAAUUUUCACCUUUGUUUAGGGUUUAGGGCUUUUAUUGAUCUUGCAUCGAAGUUGGAACUUUGCUUUUGUCUCCUGCUGUAUCAGGGCAAAACUAACAUUUCCCUCAGCGCAUUUCUGUCUACGGAAUCCAUGAAUGGCAGUGCCUUUCUCUAGGUGAAGGGUAAGCUCUUUCCCUCAACCUCUUGUUUAUUUGCAUGGACUUGGGAGUAUUGGAUUCUGAUUUUUAACUUGAACUUCUGUCUCUCUGUGUGAAAAAAUUGUACGAUCCAUGUCUUAUUUCGUUCUUAUAGUCAUACAUAUCAGUGCUGAUAUUAAACUAGUUAUCUAGCCAACCUUAACCAUCCGGCCAUGACUUAAAAAAGUAUUAUGAUGGAAUGAACAUUUUUUAUUUUAGUUUUGGCAACAAAAUCUGAUAUAAUAACCCCAACUGGUUAUUCCUUUAAAAUUGUCUUUUGGAUUAUCAGAGCAUCAGGCUUUGUGGGCUAAUGCAGUAUUCAUCAACAAGACCAUCAGGGUUAUUUUAAGUCAGCUGCUGCCUUGUUUGCUUUGCAAGGCUAGAAAUUUAUUGAAGAACAGAGAAUUAUCUUUACAUUGCAGCCCCUUAGGCCUGCAGUGGUGGGGUCCACAGGUCCACCUCAAAAUUUUGGUCCACUAAUGGAAGGAUAUGUGGAUAAGAGAAGUGAAGCUGUCAUUGAUAAAGUAUUCGGCUGAAUACUCCAAAAAAUAUGGUUAUGCCUCCACCUCAGAUGCUCCACCAUGUAAUUAUGACUUGUGGUUUAAGGCAACUGGUGUCCCAACUCAUGGCCAUGUCUAUGGCUUCAGUUUUCUGAAGGAUCUCACUGGAAUUAUUGGGCAAUCAUCAUCCUCUUCCACCUCUAUAAGUCAAGCUCCAGAGUUGUACACGCGUGAAGACCUUCUAGGUAUUAUUGAGCACGAAAAGAAAAAAUGGCAAGAGGAGGUUCUUCAAAAGAUGAGAGAAGAGAUUGGCUUUGGACCAAGGCAUGCAGAUCAGGGGAGUAAUGGUGAUUCUGGUUCUGCUGAUCAUGCUUCAUUAUGAUGCUUCUCUAUGACAUACUUCUGAACUUUGAUUUUGAUGGAUUUAGGACAUGUUGAUGCCUAUUUUGAAUGACAUGUUAAAUGACUUUUGCGUAAUGUUGAAUGCUUUUGCUAUUAAUGAUAUUAUUAUUAUGAGCCAAUCAAUGUACUAAAUGUACCAAGUUAUUGAAAUGUAAUCAGUGACCAAAUUUGGUUACUGAAUUGUUUACCAA